rnacentral:rRNA from 1 species
CCUACGGGAGGCAGCAGUGGGGGAUAUUGCACAAUGGGGGAAACCCUGAUGCAGCGACGCCGCGUGUGGGAAGACGGUCCUCUGGAUUGUAAACCACUGUCCCCAGGGACGAAGAUGACGGUACCUGGGGAGGAAGCUCCGGCUAACUACGUGCCAACAGCCGCGGUAAUACGUAGGGAGCGAGCGUUGUCCGGAAUUACUGGGUGAAAAGGGAGCGUAGGCGGGACUGCAAGUUGGGUGUCAAAUCUACCGGCUCAACCGGUAGCCGCACUCAAAACUGCAGUUCUUGAGUGAAGUAGAGGCAGGCGGAAUUCCUAGUGUAGCGGUGAAAUGCGUAGAUAUUAGGAGGAACACCAGUGGCGAAGGCGGCCUGCUGGGCUUUUACUGACGCUGAGGCUCGAAAGUGUGGGGAGCAAACAGGAUUAGAUACCCGAGUAGUC